UAUAAAUUUCAAUCCAAUUUUUAAAGCGAGACAUUCAAUUCAUGUAUUCCCUCUCACAUUUAUCCAUGUCUAUCCUUUUUCUAAAUGCUAUGCGUCUUUCCGAAAUACCAAAUGGAUACAAGGGAUCUUCAUUCCUCCUUCAACCGUACCUAUCACACACCUUUUCAUCUGGUGAAGCGGAGAGUGGAGGAAAAGGAUCUUCCCUAGCAUAUACCUGGUUACUUUUUAAGUGUUUGCUUUUGCUGACAUUCACUUUGUUAAGCUUUUCAUUUGUGUUUUCGGAAUCUACAUGUCAACAUAUUUGUGUGACAUGAUGUUUCUGCGCUUUUUUUAUAUUUUACUUUCAUGGACUGCUAGUGGGGCUAUAUACUUUAAUAAUGUUUCACCAGCUCAUGCUUGUGGUAAAGGUUACUUGAUAAUUUUAUAUUUUACGUGUGCCGUUGAAGAGUUCAAA